AGCGGAUCCACGCAGGCGGCGCCCGCGCCUCUCCGCUCCCCGGCCGGCCCGCGCGCCCUCCCGACUGCCGGGGCCGUCUGCAGCCUCCCGCCGCUGCCGCCGCAAGGUCGGCGGCGCCGCUGCUCGUCUUCCAGAUUUUUUUUGCUUUCUCCUUCCAUUAGCAGUCAGCCUUCUGACACCUGUGCAUGCUGCCCUUCCACAAGAUGACAUACAGGAAGUACUGAAAUAAUUCUUCUUCAGCCACAUCUUUGAAGUAGAUCAUUAAUUUAUUUGACAAAAUAUUUGUGCUUAGAAGUCAGAAAAGGACCCUGCUCUCCUGGAACUGACAUGAUAAUGAAGGGAGACAGUCAGUAAAAGUACAUUGCUCUUUUAAAUUCUAUUGAGAACUAUAAGGACAAUAAAAGUGACUGAUGGGGGCUUCCCUGGUGGUGCAGUGGUUGAGAAUCUGCCUGCCGAUGCAAGGGACACGGGCUCGAGCCCUGGUCUGCGAAGAUCCCACAUGCCGCGGAGCAACUGGGCCCGUGAGCCACAACUACUGAGCCUGCGCAUCUGGAGCCUGUGCUCCACAAAAAGAGAGGUCACGACAGUGAGAGGCCCGUGCACUGCAAUGAAGAGUGGCCCCCGCUCACCGCAAUUGGAGAAAGCCCUCGCACAGAAACGAAGACCCAACACAGCUAAAAAUAAAUAAAUAAAUAAAUAAUUUUUUUAAAAAAAGUGAUUGAUGGGGCAAGAGCAGUUGUUGUUGGUGGUGGGUGUAUUACUUUCCUAGGGCUGCCAUAACAGAGUACCAUGAACUGGGCGGCUUAAAACAAUAGAGACACAUUCUCUCAGCGCUGGAGGCUAGAAGUCCAAAAUCAAGAUGGAUCCUUCCUUGCCCCUUCCACCUUCUGGCAGCCCCAGGAAUUUCUUCGCUUGUGUUUACACUUAAAGCUUUUAAGCCUCCUUCUUC